UACGGAGGGAGCUAGCGUUGUUCGGAAUUACUGGGCGUAAAGCGCGCGUAGGCGGCGGUGUAAGUCAGAGGUGAAAGCCUGGAGCUCAACUCCAGAACUGCCUUUGAGACUGCAUUGCUAGAAUCCUGGAGAGGUGAGUGGAAUUCCGAGUGUAGAGGUGAAAUUCGUAGAUAUUCGGAAGAACACCAGUGGCGAAGGCGGCUCACUGGACAGGUAUUGACGCUGAGGUGCGAAAGCGUGGGGAGCAAAC
rnacentral:rRNA from 1 species